rnacentral:rRNA from 1 species
AUUGAACGCUGGCGGCAGGCUUAACACAUGCAAGUCGAGCGGGGGAAGGUAGCUUGCUACCGGACCUAGCGGCGGACGGGUGAGUAAUGCUUAGGAAUCUGCCUAUUAGUGGGGGACAACAUCUCGAAAGGGAUGCUAAUACCGCAUGCGUCCUACGGGAGAAAGCAGGGGAUCUUCGGAACUUGCGCUAAUAGAUGAGCCUAGGUCGGAUUAGCUAGUUGGUGGGGUAAAGGCCUACCAAGGCGACGAUCUGUAGCGGGUCUGAGAGGAUGAUCCGCCACACUGGGACUGAGACACGGCCCAGACUCCUACGGGAGGCAGCAGUGGGGAAUAUUGGACAAUGGGGGGAACCCUGAUCCAGCCAUGCCGCGUGUGUGAAGAAGGCCUUAUGGUUGUAAAGCACUUUAAGCGAGGAGGAGGCUACUCUAGUUAAUACCUAGGGAUAGUGGACGUUACUCGCAGAAUAAGCACCGGCUAACUCUGUGCCAGCCGCCGCCGUAA